rnacentral:rRNA from 1 species
UACGUAGGGACCGAGCGUUGUCCGGAAUCAUUGGGCGUAAAGAGCUCGUAGGCGGCUCGGUAAGUCAGGUGUCAAAUCCUCAGGCUCAACCUGGGGCUCCACCUGAUACUGCUGUGGCUAGAGUCCGGUAGGGGAGCGUGGAAUUCCUGGUGUAGCGGUGAAAUGCGCAGAUAUCAGGAGGAACACCAGCGGCGAAGGCGGCGCUCUGGGCCGGAACUGACGCUGAGGAGCGAAAGCGUGGGUAGCAAACAGG